rnacentral:rRNA from 1 species
CAGGACGAACGCUGGCGGCGUGCCUAACACAUGCAAGUCGAACGGACUGAUUCCCUCGGGGAUGAAAGUAGUGGCGGACGGGUGAGUAACGCGUGAGCAACCUGCCUUUCAGAGGGGAAUAACGUUUGGAAACAGACGCUAAUACCGCAUAACGCAUAGGUGUCGCAUGGCAUUUAUGCCAAAGGAGCAAUCCGCUGAAAGAUGGGCUCGCGUCCGAUUAGAUAGUUGGUGGGGUAACGGCCUACCCAAGUCGACGAUCGGUAGCCGGACUGAGAGGUUGAACGGCCACAUUGGGACUGAGACACGGCCCAGACUCCUACGGGAGGCAGCAGUGGGGGAUAUUGCACAAUGGGCGGAAGCCUGAUGCAGCAACGCCGCGUGAGGGAAGACGGUUUUCGGAUUGUAAACCUCUGUCUUUGGUGACGAAGAAAUGACGGUAGCCGAGGAGGAAGCCACGGCUAACUACGUGCCAGCCGCCGC